GACGUAGGGCGCGAGCGUUGUCCGGAUUUAUUGGGCGUAAAGAGCUCGUAGGCGGCUUGUCGCGUCGUUCGUGAAAACCCGGGGCUCAACUCCGGGCUUGCGGGCGAUACGGGCAGGCUAGAGGUAGGUAGGGGAGAUCGGAAUUCCUGGUGUAGCGGUGAAAUGCGCAGAUAUCAGGAGGAACACCGGUGGCGAAGGCGGAUCUCUGGGCCUUACCUGACGCUCAGGUGCGAAAGCUAGGGGAGCGAACAGG
rnacentral:rRNA from 1 species